rnacentral:tRNA from 1 species
UAUAUUUUGUUGUAUGAUGCAUUGAAAUUUUUGAUAUUUCAGGUAAUAGUUUAAUUCUAUUAAAUAUAAU